AUUGAACGCUGGCGGCAUGCCUUACACAUGCAAGUCGAACGGCAGCACGGGAGCUUGCUCUGGUGGCGAGUGGCGAACGGGUGAGUAAUACAUCGGAACGUACCCAGUAGUGGGGGAUAACGCACCGAAAGGUGCGCUAAUACCGCAUACGACCUAAGGGUGAAAGCGGGGGACCGCAAGGCCUCGCGCUAUUGGAGCGGCCGAUGUCUGAUUAGCUAGUUGGCGGGGUAAAGGCCCACCAAGGCGACGAUCAGUAGCUGGUCUGAGAGGACGGUCAGCCACACUAGGACUGAGACACGGCCCAGACUCCUACGGGAGGCAGCAGUGGGGAAUUUUGGACAAUGGGGGCAACCCUGAUCCAGCAAUGCCGCGUGUGCGAAGAAGGCCUUCGGGUUGUAAAGCACUUUUGUCAGGGAAGAAAUCUUUCAGGCUAAUACCCUUGGAAGGAUGACGGUACCUGAAGAAUAAGCACCGGCUAACUACGUGCCAGCCGCCGCGGUAA
rnacentral:rRNA from 1 species